GAUGAACGCUGGCGGCGCGCUUAACACAUGCAAGUCGAACGGAAAGGCCCUGCUCUUGAGGGGUGCCCGAGUGGCGAACGGGUGAGUAACACGUGAGUAACCUGCCCUUGACUUUGGGAUAACUUCAGGAAACUGGGGCUAAUACCGGAUAGGAGCUCCUGCUGCACGGUGGGGGGUGGAAAGUUUCGGCGGUUGGGGCUGGACUCGCGUCUUAUCAGCUCGUUGGUGGGGGAGUGGCUUACCAAGGCUUUGACGGGUAGCCGGCGUGAGAGGGUGGCCGGCCACAAUGGGGCUGAGAUACGGCCCAGACUCCUACGGGAGGCAGCGGUGGAGAAUAUUGCACAAUGGGCGGAAGCCGGAUGCAGCAACGCCGCGUGCGGGAGCACGGCCUUCCGGUUGCAGACCGAUUCCGCCUGGGACGAAGCGUCAGGGACGGUAACGUGUACAGAAGGACCGGCUAACUACGUG
rnacentral:rRNA from 1 species